UACGGGGGGUGCGAGCGUUGUCCGGAAUCACUGGGCGUAAAGGGCGCGUAGGUGGUUUGAUAAGGGUGUGGUAAAAGCCCGGGGCUCAACCCCGGGUCUGCCGUGCCGACUGUCAAACUCGAGGGCUGUAGAGGCAGACGGAAUUCCGGGUGUAACGGUGGAAUGCGUAGAGAUCCGGAGGAAGACCGGUGGCGAAGGCGGUCUGCUGGGCAGUUUCUGACACUGAGGCGCGACAGCGUGGGGAGCAAACAGG
rnacentral:rRNA from 1 species